ACAAUUCUCCAUUUUCCUUUCACUGUAAUUCUCUUCUUUUGCUUUUAUUUUCUUUUCCGUUAUCAAUCCGCUCGAUUUAACAAGAUCUAUCUUAUUCUGGAUUAAAUGUUUGCUACAUUACAUCGAUCUAGUCAAUCUCAGAAAAAUAAUUGAUUAUACAUUAUAACAUCACUGCAAGAACAUUCAAUUAUAUUUUCAUCGAAUGUCAAAGAGUUUUUGGCGACGGUGUUAGUACUUAUUCAGAUUUUGGGUAUUGUAGUUAUUUGAUGGACAUAAUGGGUCUGCAGCUGCAAUUUAUACAAAGGAGAAGAGCGCCGGAGCAUCCUCUCCCGGCGGCGUACGAUGAUUCAUGGAAUGCUCUCAAAUGGGUCGCCUCACAUUCCAUUGGAGAUAGCCCUGAAGAGUGGAUAACCGCCAUGCUGAUCUGAGCAAAGUGUUUCUUGCCGGAGAGAGCGUCGGCGCUAAUAUAGCCCAUAACAUAGGGAUGAGAAAUGGAUUAGAGAAACUGGGUGGGGUUGAAGUUUUAGGGAUAGUUCUUAUUCAUUCAUAUUUUUAGGGAAAGAAGCAGUUGGCGGUGAGAGGAAAGAAGAAGAAGUGAGAUUGAUGAUAGUGAAUGUGCAGCGGAGAAGAAGAAGAAGAAGUGAAGAAAAAUGGAGGAAGAAGACAUAAAAUGUAAAAAGAGUAAAAGAAGUCCCUAGAUUUUUAGGAUUUUAGUUUUUAGGUUAUGAUUUUAAGGUUUUAAAGUUUUAAGGACAUUUUUAACACCGUGGCAGCCAUGUCAGCCGAUGAGUAAGCAAAAUUGGCUGACAUGCUUGCCACGGUGUCAAAUUUUCUAGGUUAGGGUGGAAUUGAAAACAAAAGGUGUGGAUUUGGGUGUAAUCAGUGAUUUUACAAUGUCAGGGUGCAAACGAAAAGGGGCUAAAAGGUGGAGGUUUUUUCAGACCA